rnacentral:lncRNA from 1 species
ACCAGCACCAGCUUAACAGGAAUGACAUGAUCUGGAUGCGACAGUGGCAGUUUUCCCUUAACAUCCCUGCCCCCUAAAGAUUUGAGAUCAAAUUUCACACUCUUAAGUAACAGCAAUUUGUCUUUCACGGUUUUAAUCAUAUUGACUAAAAGCAUUUGUCUUUUCCAGAACAUCACAUUAAGUCACCCAAAAAUAUAAAAAUUAAAAAGAUGUAAUUAUUGGCAAUAAAAAACAUAAAAGGUGAGCUUUCGAAAUAUCUUUGAGAAAUUUAUUCAUUAUGAACACAUGGAAUCUGUUGGAACAAAGUUCUAGGACAAUUCAGCCCAUCCUUCAAUAAUUGCAGAAAACAGCACAAAGAAAACUUGAUAUUUAUACUUAGUUGGAAAUUUUAUCCUACAGUCAUUAAAUACAGAGAUCAUAUAAAGGAAUAGAGGAAGAUGUUGAAAACUAAACUAACUCAAAUCAUCAAUAUUCUUACAAAGUGCACACUGAAUUAAUGUAAAAGUAUUUACCAAACAAAAAGUAUUUUCAAUACAUAAUUAAGACUGAAAAGUAUUGAGGCCUCAUAAACUGAACCUGAUACAACAAAUUUCAAAGGGAAACUAAUUUGGAAAUCAGAAAAUCAUCUAAGGAAUUUGAGAAUUAGGCUUCUGUUGCCCCCUCUGCUACUGACAGUCAGGGCCCCCUCAUUGUAUUCUGUCCUCCACAUCUCUGCUGAUUGCCGUUUUGUCUAUUUCCAUUUACCCCACUACUACUUGCUCAGGUCACUCUCCUUCAUUCUCAGUGUUUGUUCAAAUUCCUCACACCCAUCCACUUCCCAUCUAAAUUUCCCUCCCCUUUUGUCCCUCGCUGGCCCUACCUCCCUCUUCUCUUGUUUUCUCCUCACGAUCCUGCCCCACCUCGACAUCCACAGCGAUACAGUGAAGAAGCCCCUGCCAAGGAAGAGCCCACUUCUCAGUGGGGCACCGGGAAGAUUUCAGAGGAGAGCCUGGUGUCACUUACAGCAGACAUUGCAGA